rnacentral:rRNA from 1 species
CAUGCAGUCGAGCGAAUGGAUUANGAGCUUGCUCUUAUAGAAGUUAGCGGCGAGACGGGUGAGUAACACGUGGGUAACCUGCCCAUAAGACUGGGAUAACUCCGGGAAACCGGGGCUAAUACCGGAUAACAUUUUGAACCGCGUGGUUCGAAAUUGAAAGGCGGCUUCGGCUGUCACUUAUGGAUGGACCCGCGUCGCAUUAGCUAGUUGGUGAGGUAACGGCUCACCAAGGCAACGAUGCGUAGCCGACCUGAGAGGGUGAUCGGCCACACUGGGACUGAGACACGGCCCAGACUCCUACGGGAGGCAGCAGUAGGGAAUCUUCCGCAGUGGACGAAAGUCUGACGGAGCAACGCCGCGUGAGUGAUGAAGGCUUUCGGGUCGUAAAACUCUGUUGUUAGGGAAGAACAAGUGCUAGUUGAAUAAGCUGGCACCUUGACGGUACCUAACCAAAAAGCCACGGCUAACUACGUGCCAGCAGCCGCGGUAAUACGUAGGUGGCAAGCGUUAUCCGGAAUUAUUGGGCGUAAAGCGCGCGCAGGUGGUUUCUUAANUCUGAUGUGAAAGCCCACGGCUCAACCGUGGAGGGUCAUUGGAAACUGGGAGACUUGAGUGCANAAGAGGAAAGUGGAAUUCCAUGUGUAGCGGUGAAAUGCGUAGAGAUAUGGAGGAACACCAGUGGCGAAGGCGACUUUCUGGUCUGUAACUGACACUGAGGCGCGAAAGCGUGGGGAGCAAACAGGAUUANAUACCCUGGUAGUCCACGCCGUAAACGAUGAGUGCUAAGUGUUAGAGGGUUUCCNCCCUUUAGUGCUGAANUUAACGCAUUAAGCACUCCGCCUGGGGAGUACGGCCGCANNGCUGANACUCAAANGAAUUGACGGGGGCCCGCACNAGCGGUGNANCAUGNNGNUUUACUUCGAAGCAACGCGAAG